CGAGCAAUUUGCAAAAUUAUUUGGGAAGGAAAAAAGAACUUAGGAUUUCAACAAGUAUUCUAAACAAUAAAAGAAUUCUGGGGAAUUCACCCUUCCUGACCUAAAGGUGUAUUAAAAAAAAGGUCUUGAAAAAAACUUCAUAAUACUGGUACAGAGACAGGCAGGUUGAUCAAUAGAAUAGAACUGAAGACCUAGAAAUGGACGCAUACACCAUUGGUCACUUGAUCUUACACAAAGGACCUAAAAUUAUGCAAUUGAAGAAAGACAGCAUUUUCAACAUAUGGCGCUGGUUCAAGUGGAGGUCUGCAAGGUAAAGAAUGCAAAUUGACCCAUUCUUAUCUCCUUGUACAGAACUCUAGUCAAGUGGAUCAAAGAUUUCCACAUAAAAUGAGACACACUGAAACUAAUAGAAGGAAGGUGGGAAAAUGCCUUCAACACAUAAACACAGGGAAAACCUACUGAACAGAGCAUAAAAUGUGAUGCAGUACAUACAGGAGUACUACACAGCUAUUAAAAACAAUGAUUACAUGAAAUUAUUAGGCAAAUGGAUGGAACUUGAGAAUACCAACCUAAGAGAAGUAACCCAGUCACAAAGGAACACACAUGGCACAUGGACUACACUAGCUGCAAAGUGGAUAGUAGGCCAACAGCUUGGAAUAACUAAGAAAAAAUUAACAGAUCAUAACAAGCUCAAGAAGAAGGAAGACGAACAUGUGAAUGCUUCAUUCCUUCUUAAAAGGGAGAACAUAAUACUCAGGGCAGGAAAUACAGAAACAAAGAGUGAAGAUGGACUGAAGAGAAGGUCUUCCAGAGACCAGGUCCCUCGCCUGGGGACAUAUCUCAUGUGCAGCCUACAAACUCAGGCACUAUUGCUGAUUCCAAGAAGUGCUAGCUGAAGGAGCCAGGUAUGGCUGACUCCUAAGAGGCUCUGCUGGAACCCAACUGACACACAUGAGGAUGGUUGCAACUAACAAUUGGACUGAACAAGGGGAACGCAAUGGAGGAGUAAGAAAAAAGACUGAAGGAGCAGAAGGAUUUGUAACCCUGUAAGAAGAACAAUACUAUCAAGCAAACCCAUCCCACCAGACCUCCCAGGGACCAAACCACCAACCAAUCAGUACACCUGGAGGGUCCCAGGACUGCAGCCACACAUGUAGCAGAGGAUGCCAUUGUCCAGAAUCAUAAAGACUAAAAGCCCUUGGUCCUGUGAAGACUCUGUUCCCCAAAGUAGGAUAAUGCCAGGGUGUUGAGGGUGGAGUGGGUGGGUGGGAGUGGGAGCAUCCUCAGAGAAGAGGGGGUUGGGAAGAGGAUAUGGGUAAGGGGGUAAAGCAGAUAACAUUUGAAAUCAAAAACAAAAAUAUCCAUGAAAAACACGAUUUAAAAAAAUAGCCAAAAAUCAAGUGUUGAUCAGGAAUUGAAGUAGUUCACACUCAAAAUCAGCAGGAAGAAGGGGAUGUUGAGCAGCUACUGACAGAGAAAAGCUCUACCAGUCAUUGAUGUUAAACUACCAAGUGUUACGCAGGAAAAUACAAUGAAGAAGAAGUCAGCCAUCUUGGAAGUCCACAAUUUUGCUGACUCUACACUGCUCUACAAUACUCUCUGACUUACAGUCAAUGUUUUAAUUCCUAAUCUCACUGGAUCAGUGGUAAUAACUACUCUUCCUCAGCUUUUCUAUCACAGUUCUAUUAUUAAUUCUAGUGUGGUGGUGCAUCUACAUGAUUCAUAUCAAUACUAUGGCAGCGAAGGGAGUUGUGUGGCUAACUUUCAUGACAUGAUCAGACUCCUAGACGCUUGGAACAUAAUUCUCAUGUCACAUAAUCCUUCUCUAUACAGGCUUUUCAUCUCUUGAUAAUUUUCAACUUAUCAAGUGGAAGUGGUAUCUUCACAGACGAAUCCUCUGAACUUAGAUGUCCCUGCUCCCAUUACCAAUAGAUUCCACAGCUCGUCUGCUUCUAGGAACAGAGCCAUGAAGAGUCUUAGAGUUCCUCUAUUGUGUUUUAUUUUGUCUCACCAGAGGACACAGAUCAAGACCAUGAUGUGGACCUAGGUUCCUUUGAAGAGAGAGUUAGUUCCCAGGGUUAUUUCUGUACCAAGUCAUUUUAAGGAAUUCUAACUUUUUCCUUAACCCAUAAAGAAUGUUACAUUCUACCAAAACUCACAUACACAACACACACACACACACACACACACACACACACACACACACACUCCCCCCAAAAAGGAAAAAACACAUGGACACACAUCCAUAGAUGCAAAUGUUUGCUUGAAUGUAUGCAUGUAAGCACUCCCAUGUACUUUCUCAGAUGAACAUGCACAGAUAAACCUAACACAUAUAACAAAGCUAUCAUGCAAUGCCCUCCACACAUGUACCUUGAGGCAUAACCAUGCACAUGAAUAUGAACAUCCAGGAGAUCCUGAACAAUUUUUGGGAAUUUAAACAAAAGAAUCUAAAUAACGUCAGAGGGAAGAGUACAGGAGCAAUGAACUCAACUCUACUCCAUUUGGCAAGGGAGACAACAUAGUAAUUAACUGUAACACCGCCCACCACUGUGGAGUAGCAGGGAAUUCUGAUCUCAUGGACUUGGUGUUUACCCCUCACAUCACUGGCUUGUUAAACUGUGACCCAGACACUGUGUUGGAAGGAGGGAGAUGACCAGGGGAUAAAGAGUGAAUGACUUCGGAGCAAAUGUUACUGAGAGGAGCAGAAAAAGGAAACAGAGUAUAACGGAAGAGAUGGGAUAGAGGAGGAAGAAUGAUUAGGAACUAGAGAAGUGAUGGCUGCCACAUGACACAUGAUGGGCACAGAGAAAGUGUGGUGUGUUCUGUUCAGGUUUCAUUCAGUUACUUUGACAAGCACCAGCACUAAAUGAUACUAAGGAAAGAGAAAGUUUUCUUGCAGAUGACAGGACACAGCCGACCAUUGAAGGGAAUCAGAUCAAGGACACAAGCAGGAAUUAAAAGAAGAAGCAAUGGAGGAUGAAUCCACUCUGAAAGAGUGCUAGGGGGCCAGCGUCCAUCUUGUAAGUGGUUGGAUGAUCCUAGGUCAGAGGAUCACAAAGGGCUGUAAAGCUACUGGCUUAAGCCCUAAAAUGAUCAUCAUGGUAGAAACCGACUCUGUGAAAGACAAUUCCUAGGCAGGCACACUGACAUUGUGGAGCUGCUGCGGUCACAGGCGUGCAUGUGAUCUCAUUCCACACAGAACACAUACAAGGUCAUGUAAAUGCAAGGAGACCAGCCUAGGGUUUGUUUAUGGUAAAUUGGGAUAAUUAGGGCUGAAUUUAUGAGUAUGGUUACAGAUGUAGCUCAAAAGGAGAGACUCAGCUUCCAAAACUGAUAUCUACCUAUGUUGAUUUGUGUACCUAGGAAAUGGCAGGGGGCAUGGGAGCCUUUAAGGAAUGUUCUGUUGAAGAAGGGACAGUGAUGGAACCACCCUCUUCAAAAUGACCUAACAAUACAGAACCUUGGUAACCAGGCAACACACUGGUUGGAGCAAGGCCUGCAGGCUCACUUGCCAGAGACAGUUGAGAGGGAAGGAUGUUCUCUUGCUGUCUUCGGACUACUCGAGGCUCAGGCCUCAAGAAAGACAACAGGGAAGGCCACGGUGGUGUCUGGAGGCACAGGGUUCGCUCUUGUCUUCGACGCCUGUGGCCAUUUUCCCGAAAGGUAAGAUCAUCGACCAAGACCAGUCAAAGCCAUGAGCACACAGACAAGAGUGAGAAUGAUUCUGCAGCACAGGACCUGAGCGAGUCCUAUAGAGACUCCAGCAUUAGUACAGAGGCUGUGGUUAAGCUAGGGAACAAGCUGGGGCCUUCUCUGCAGGAAGGGGACACCUUCUAUGUCCCUGCCUUUUCGAUCAUAUACCAAAGAUUUGACACCCCCCUACUGGUACUGGACCAGCUGUUCCUGAGUGAUACAGCUGUCCAAUGCCAAUGCUCUAAAAUGGAUGUCGCUGUCACCUCUACCUUGAAAAAGCACUUUAUACUUCAAUUGAUAUUUCUGAGGCCUUGGUGAAUGCACUUCUUUCAUUUGUAAUGGAGGUUUAGGAAAUAUCAGAAUAUCCAAUAAAGAUGUAUCAAACAUGGAGAUCUUUGAAGCAUAAUACAUGGGACCAUGUGACCACAGAGAUAUCCAAGUAGAGAUGCACAUGUUCAACCUUUGCACAGUUACAAUGAAAGCACGGACUGUGUACAGGUAUGCUAACUUCAGCCCUUAUUGUGAAGAGGAUGAACAAAUAAAUAACGCCCUCUGUAGCUUCCUGGAAACAUGGAUGGACAAGAACACUGAGGACUAUUGUGAACCCUCGGAACUGUUCAUACUGAAAUAUAUAAAGGCCUAUUUUGAUGUGUGUAUGGCACACUUAGAUCUUAGUGUCCAGGUCAAUAGGUUCAUGACUCUCUUGCAGGACAAUCAGGCCAAGGAUUCCCAUCCAAGGAUGAGCAAGGCUCAGAUCUGAGGAGACACACAUCCUCAGAUCCACAGAUUGCAUGGGUGUAAAACAGCAGGACAAGAGCCACUCUGGAGCCAGAACCAACUUGUGCAUCACAGCUGGAGGGCACAAAACCUCCAGAACUUUCUCUGAAGCAUGAUUAGUUGCAACCAGAUGUGGCAGCAGCAGCACAGACAGCACACAUGAUAGCAGCUGUUGAACUUGUGUCUCAGUAUGUCUGUAGAUACAAUGUAUGUUUCACUAACUUCCUACUUGCUGCAGUGGGCCUACCUAUUCAGAGAAUGGCCCUGUAACACCUUGUGUGUGCCUGCCCUGUAUCUGUGCUACUGCUCCUGCCCAGGGUGCUCAGCCCCUCACUUCAGUCCAGCAGCAAUUCCAGCCCCACACCCAGCCUUCUUCCUCCCCUGAGAUAUCACCUUUUUAUUCUUUCUGAUCUUUUCCAUUUUGUGUUUAAAUAUUGGUUUAAUAAAUUGUUAUUGUUUGUUUUCACUUUGCUCAAAGUUGUCUAUGGUACAAAAAUAAUUUAAAAAAGUUAAACAUAAGCAUUUAAAAUUAUUAAAUGUCAUGCUUAAAUUA